GAUGUGCUUUCAACUUUCAGUCAUGCUCAUCUUCUGUUUGCCUUAAAAAAAAAAAAAGUGAUUUGGCAAUGGAAAAUGUAAUGAAGACCAAGUAAAUGAGUAUUUGAAGAUAUAUUGCUGAAGUAGCUUAAUUUGACUUUGAAUAUUUUCAAAUCUUUCAGUUGAGAGACUCUCAUCUCUUAAUAGACAGAGACACAGAUUAUUGGAUUGAACAUAAGCUUAUCCAUAUAAUUUUCAUUCUAUUAGAAAUUAAAAUGAUUAAGCAUUUUACAUGUAACUAGUUGUAUAUGUACAUAAAUAUGAAAGUGUGUUUGUUUUAUCCAUGCUGGCAAUCACUGACAUUGACUUAUGUAGAGAGAGUUGAUAUGUAAAAAGCACUGUUAAAUUUUUACCUGAAAAACUAUGAGAUUUGAGGCAUUAUUUUUUUCAACGGGACUACCAAAAAGCUCUAAAAAAUGUCUGUGCCUUACAGUUCUGUAUUUAACCUCCAGAUUGGCAAUAAGAGACUUGUAAGCUCAUAUAUGGGGUCUGCAUAGUGUUAAUGUCUGAGAUUUAUUUUCCCCCAAAGGUUCAUAAACAGUAUUGACAAAUAUAUCACACAUUGCAAUUUUGACGUGGUCAUAAUGUAGCAUGGGAGGUUUGAAAGGUUUAAAUAAACAUCUAAAUUGAAUUUGUUAGCUCUUCUGCAUCAAGAGUCCUGUUAGUCACUAGCAUCUAUGUAUUUUUAUCAAGGAUUUUCCAUAAACUAACAAUACAUGUCUCUUCUAAAGAACUGAGUAAGAAAGCUAUUGCAAAAUAAACCCUGAAUUCCUGUCUUUUCUGCCAUUGAUCAGUAGACUUCUCCAUUUAAGGAGUCACAUCUAUUUUCAAGCAUUAAAAUACACUUUAUUUUCCUAAAAUAUGCAGUUUCUAAAUGACUUCCUAGAGCCCAUUUAAUUUGGGACUCGUUAAUUUUGCAAAGUUAUUUACUUGUUGACAUUUUCUUUUACUGUCAAGGAUUAUCAAUUUGAGCUAGUCUUUUUGUUUUGUAUACAUGCUUCCUGCUUUAGGUUAAAAAUAAUGGAGAUCCAGUUUUGUCAUUUAUUUGUUGAGAAAUAAUUAGCAUCAGCUAUGGCCAGCAAUAAGGAUUGAUAAGAUAAGGUCAUUUUCUUUAGAGAUCUUACCUUUCAGUAAGUAAGAUAAUCAUAGAUACAGAUAAUUAUGAUAUGAGGUAGUGCUAUAUAGAAGUACUAUGUAAUCAAGUGCAGUAGGACAGUGGAGGGAAAAUGUUUCAUGAUGCAUCAUGUAACACUCUUCCCAAUCAGUGGCCCAAUCAGUGGUGCAAAAUGCAGAAAUAAUUGUUGAAGAUGUGUGUGGGAAGAGAGAAAUAUGUGAAAACAGUUAAGUCUCUUAGAAAAGGUUUCAAUAACAACUUUUUAUUCUAUAGAAUUAUGAUUUUUUAUCCUAUAAUGACAUAUCUUUUUAUUUGAAUUUUUUGUUUCAAGUAUUAUACGAUUUUUCCUGCAUAGUUAAUUUUUGUUAAUACUAAACAUCUCUAAUUUUAAGUUCAGAGAUGCCUAUUUUCUUAUUAUAGGGGCCAAAUUGCAAUGUACUUGUGAAAUUAUGUGAUUAUGAGCAACACUUUUAAAAAAUAUAUAGUUGGGUGUGAUUUGGAAUAUUUAAUUGAUUUGCCUGUUAAUCCAAAAAUUUACUGAGCACCUACCAUGUACCAGUAACUAUAUUAGAUGGAGAACAGAAAGAGAAAUGGACUUUGUUAUUAUGGAUCUCAUACUCUAAUCACAAAAUCCCUUUAGCAUAAAAGGUCAUUGUGAAUAUUUUUCUGUUAAAAUAUUAACUCAGAAAUAUGUACCUAGACGUAAUAAUAAGCCUCUUUAUUUGUUUAAAAGUGUCAUGAGAGUAAAAAGUUACAUAUCAAGUUCUUUUUUUUUUUUAAUCCAAGCUUUUUCUUUUUGGGGGAUAGAGGGAGUAGGUAGGAAAAUUGUUCCUUCAAGGUAAUAUUCCAUAAAGGUUUUUGUACCUUUGGAAUUUAAAUAUGAAAAAAUGAGUGUGUCUAGCUUGAUACCUACCAUAGUAGAAUCCAUCUCACCUCAUGGCUCCAAAAGUAAAGAAAAGGAUAUAAAUUAAAUUUAAAGGAUAAAUUAAAUUUAAAACAUUGAAGUUAUAUUUCCAUGCCAGACGAUGACAAAACUGGGUAUGGAAUUGUCAGUUGGAUGUUUUCUUGUUUCAUGAUUAUUUAUGCAGCUGUUACUUAGCUGACAUUAGUUCCUAGUUGAAUGUUGAAACAAAUAAUGCAUCUGAUUAGGUAUACCCAGAAUGUAUGUUAUGGGGUUGUUUUGUGACACGUAGGUGUCGUGUUAUUUUCCUCUGUAUGAUACUUGUUUAAUGAGAGAUUAUGCCAGUAGCAAUUAGAGAACUGUUUCUUGAACUGUUUUUGUUUUAUACAGCACCAAAUACAACAUCGGUGAAAUUAGAGUUUGUUGGAGAGGGGCAAGCCCCUCCUCUGCUUACUCCCUCCCUGUGGGGCUUCUCCCAGGCUGCUCUCCAGACUCCCAAACUCACAGCAGCUGGGAUGUGGAGACAUGACUGAUGCGGAGGGACAGGGGAUGCCCUGGCCUCUGGUGUCAGCUUCCAACUACACAUUAUGCACUGGCCUUCCGAAAAAUGUAUUUUCUCUUAUUGUGAAGGGAAAAAAAAAUCUCUUUCAUUAUGGCUUUCAAUUUUAUUCAACCGAUAGGCAGGUGAAAAAUUGAAAUACAUCACAAUUGCUGGUGAAUUAAAACAAGAUCAGAGUAUUGCUUGCAAAGUAUGUUGGCACUGUUGUAGAUUUGCUCUUUUCUUUCUCUUUUUUUUUUU